UAACCUACAAUAUAAGACUGGAAUAACUCCGGGAAACCGGGGCUAAUGCCGGAUAAUAUUUAGAACCGCAUGGUUCUAAAGUGAAAGAUGGUUUUACUAUCACUUAUAGAUGGACCCGCGCCGUAUUAGCUAGUUGGUGGGGUAAUGGCUUACCAAGGCAACGAUACGUAGCCGACCUGAGAGGGUGAUCGGCCACACUGGAACUGAGACACGGUCCAGACUCCUACGGGAGGCAGCAGUAGGGAAUCUUCCGCAAUGGGCGAAAGCCUGACGGAGCAACGCCGCGUGAGUGAUGAAGGUCUUCGGAUCGUAAAACUCUGUUAUUAGGGAAGAACAAAUGUGUAAGUAACUGUGCACGUCUUGACGGUACCUAAUCAGAAAGCCACGGCUAACUACGUGCCAGCAGCCGCGGUAAUACGUAGGUGGCAAGCGUUAUCCGGAAUUAUUGGGCGUAAAGCGCGCGUAGGCGGUUUCUUAAGUCUGAUGUGAAAGCCCACGGCUCAACCGUGGAGGGUCAUUGGAAACUGGGAAACUUGAGUGCAGAAGAGGAAAGUGGAAUUCCAUGUGUAGCGGUGAAAUGCGCAGAGAUAUGGAGGAACACCAGUGGCGAAGGCGACUUUCUGGUCUGUAACUGACGCUGAUGUGCGAAAGCGUGGGGAUCAAACAGGAUUAGAUACCCUGGUAGUCCACGCCGUAAACGAUGAGUGCUAAGUGUUUAGGGGGUUUCCGCCCCUUAGUGCUGCAGCUAACGCAUUAAGCACUCCGCCCUGGGGAGUACGACCGCAAGGUUGAAACUCAAAGGAAUUGACGGGGACCCGCACAAGCGGUGGAGCAUGUGGUUUAAUUCGAAGCAACGCGAAGAACCUUACCAAAUCUUGACAUCCUUUGACAACUCUAGAGAUAGAGUCUUCCCCUUCGGGGGACAAAGUGACAGGUGGUGCAUGGUUGUCGUCAGCUCGUGUCGUGAGAUGUUGGGUUAAGUCCCGCAACGAGCGCAACCCUUAAGCUUAGUUGCCAGCAUUAAGUUGGGCACUCUAAGUUGACUGCCGGUGACAAACCGGAGGAAGGUGGGGAUGACGUCAAAUCAUCAUGCCCCUUAUGAUUUGGGCUACACACGUGCUACAAUGGACAAUACAAAGGGCAGCUAAACCGCGAGGUCAUGCAAAUCCCAUAAAGUUGUUCUCAGUUCGGAUUGUAGUCUGCAACUCGACUACAUGAAGCUGGAAUCGCUAGUAAUCGUAGAUCAGCAUGUUACGGUGAAUACGUUC
rnacentral:rRNA from 1 species